rnacentral:rRNA from 1 species
GAGACAGCAGCCGCCGCGGUAAUACAGAGGGUGCAAGCGUUAAUCGGAUUUACUGGGCGUAAAGGGCGCGUAGGUGGUUAUUUAAGUGAGAUGUGAAAUCCCCGGGCUUAACCUGGGAACUGCAUCUUAUACUGGGUAACUGGAGUGCAGUAGAGGGUAGUGGAAUUUCCGGUGUAGCGGUGAAAUGCGUAGAUAUCGGAAGGAACACCAGUGGCGAAGGCGGCUACCUGGACUGAGACUGACACUGAGGCGCGAGAGCGUGGGGAGCAAACAGGAUUAGAGACCCCAGUAGUCCCUGUCUCUUAUAC